CUUGUCUCCCCUCUGCGCCGCUCUGUCAGCCGUUAACGGAGCGCUGUGCUGGGGAGGACGCGGGGGGGCGGGACCACAACCCCCCCCCAUCACGGACGGGUGGGCAGGCAGGAGGACGAGGCGGAGGUCAUCCACCGCCCUGCAGCAAGAUCAUUUACAUGCAUUUUGGAGUGGACCCUGAACGCAGCGCGGUUUCACUUCUCUCACAGCGGGACGUCAUUUACAUAAUUGAUGAAGUAUGAUAAUAACAAAAGCUCACUCAGGUUUUUUUUUUUUUGGUCUACAAAACGCAUUUAUCUAGGGAUCAGGGUCCUGGCAGUACGGGUCUACCAGGCGCAGUGCUAGCUGGGUGGAUGACACUUUGGUGCCAGAUAUGGAACCUGCGUCUUCUGGAAUAACAAGACUUUUUGACUUUGUGCGCCCGCGCACCCCCCUUUCCCUCUCCAUCGGUGGUUUACUUUUUGCCUGGCACGGCGUGACAGUGUGCCGUGUGUCUCCUCAUAGGCCUUGGCCUGGCAUAUGCUCUGUGAGCCGUUGGCCUGCCGCCACAUGCAACAGCGCUGCCCUGCGCUCCAGCGUAGCUCCCAGCCACCUGUGCUCUCUCUACAGAGCCCAAGCGGGGGGCCGCCGCCGGGAGCCCCACCGGACCCAUCACACCUGUGACUGCCGGGAAACAAGUCGCUGUGGCGCAGCCGGGCCAUUCACAGCGCUGGUCCCACACAACAACAACAGUCUUAAUUAUAAUUCCAGCGCCACUCCUGGACUAAAUCGACAUUGAGGGCUACUCUCAGACUGCUGGGCCCGGCCUGCCUUUGGCCUGCAUUCUGGGAAAUCUCAUCCAAGAUGGGACUCUCUUGAAGCUCAAAGGAGAAGAAAAUACACCAUAAAAGUUGGAUUUCUCCACUGCUGCUUCUGAAACUACAGGCUUCAUCUCUCUACUCUAUUUUAAUUAUUUACACAGUGAUCCAUGGAAACAACAUUAGUUAAAAUUGUGGACCAGUUAUUGGUCCUGUGUUAUAUAGUAGCUAAUGCUAAUUAUAGAGAAAAAAACGUAAUUAAUUUGACUGUCUCCAGGGUCUCGUUGCUACAGUAUAUGCAUACUGCUAACAAAUGACCAGUCACAUCCAUAUCGUUUUACACAGUACUCAUUUUGAAAAUAUUUUGGAAAUGAUGAAGACAUUGCCUCAGGUCAAGCUUACCAUGUCACCAACAUCACAGAUGAUAGAUUAAUGUGUUGCAGGAGGAUGCAGGAGGACAAAUAUUUAAGAAAUAAAUGUUUUUUUCCAAAUGCUGCUUAAUGAUUUCACUUGAGUUGAGCCUCCAGUUACCUAAAAGCGUGAGUUUCC
ensembl:lncRNA